rnacentral:sRNA from 1 species
CCCUAACCCGGAUUAAAGCGAAAAGUACUUUGAGCAAAAAAAAUUAGAAGUUCCUGAAUAAAAAAAGCGACCAAAGGGAGCUCUUUAUUGUGCUUUGGAACUACUUUUUUUUUAAUCAAAAUCUUGAAGCGGAAAGCCGGAACAGUU